AGGAGCCGCGGCCGGGGCGCCCCGUAUCGCGCGGCCGCGCCGAGCGCUCGUCCGUCUUAAACCCCGCGGACGGAGGCGCUGCGGGGCCUCUCCCAGGGACGUGCCGCCUCUCGGGAAGGAGCGUUUGCUGGCUGUCCGCCCUGACUGCCGAGCUGCAGGAUAGGGCCUUUGUCUCGUUAUGCUCGAGGAGAGUUUCUCUCUCUUGUCCUCGUGUGUGCCCUCCGGCUGGUUUUUUAGACUGCCGUUAAUUCAGCCCUCAGCCCCCCCUUUUCCAGACGAAAUGAAAUGACGUUCCUUCAUCCUUCCUGCUAGCCCCUGUGUCCCUCAGCCGCCCCGCCUGAUGUGUGAUGCCUUGUGUGUGAUGCCAUUUUGUUACGGGACAGAGCAAGCGCUGACGGCAGCCAGUGGCUCAGGGUUAAUCUCUCGGCGCAGACACGUGUGCUGCUGCCUGUGUCCUCAGCGCCAGCCGGGAGGUGCACGGCAGAGAUCUGACGAGGGAGCUGCGGACCGGGAAAGACCCGUGACGCUCACAGCGCGGAUACGCUGCCGAGAGUCGUGGAGUGCCUGUGGAGGGCGGGUGCUGUGUGCGCAUGUGCCUGCCCAUGGAUCACACCGGCGAGAUGCGGCAGAUGAGCUGCCUUGCUCUAUUUGUAACCUCCCACCGCUCUUGAACAGGCUUGGCAAGGAGGGGAGGGAGAUGAAAACUGAGCUGAAAAUUGAAACGAGGCUCGGAUGCUUGGAGGGGUUUAGGAGGCUGAUUCAACCCAUCACUCCCAAGGGAAGUGGGAGCACAUGUGCCUCGUGAGCUGUGUUUUGCUGUCAAGCUCAGCACAGAUCCGCCUUGGCACAAAAUCAUUUGCAUUAACUCAUUGGGAAAAGGAGAUGUAAGAACACAGUUAAACCACAAAGUACAGGAUUACAGUCUGAUAUGAAGAAAGAAAAGAAAGCUGGAGGAGAAGGAAAAAAACUCAGUCUUUAUUUUUUAGUUUGUAUUCUUUGAACUGGCUGCAGGAGUGCUUGGUGAGGACAGUGGCUGUGUCAUACCCUGUGUUAGGCUCCAGCCUCUCUUGCUGAGUGUCACAGAAGGGAGAUAUUGUAUUCAGGAGCUUGUUACUAAUUGCCUAUACCCCUCAGAGGGCUGGUCCCAGGGGGCACGUGUAGGUACAUGAUGGGACAUCAGCAUGAAAGAACCCUGGGCUCCACUGAAACCUGUCCUGCAGGGAGGAGAUGGGACUGGGGAGCUAACGGAGCAACAGCAGUGGAGCCAGCAGUUCAUAGGGACCAAGGGAUGUGAGACCAUUUAGGGUCAUCCACUAAAAAUCCUCAGUGACAAAGCAGACUAAAAGAGAGUCAUGCAAGGGCAACAGAUAAUUAAGCCAGGGCAAAUGUUUGCAGCAGCUGUCUCAGAACAGGGCCUUCAUCCCACACCCAUCUCCUUGACUUGGCAUCAGCCAAAUGCUGCACAGGCUGCUCCCUCUGUGCAGUCACAGCCCGUGUCCCUGCCUGGCUGUGGUUUUCUCGUUUUGAUUCAGCACUCACUGCCAUAUUGUCCUCAGAGGCACAGGAUCUUCCCAGGAAAAUGCAUGCUGAUGGGGAGUCACAGUGGGAACACCCAUGUCCCUCCUCCAGAGCCUCCUGCUUCUUACAUGCAGCAUGUGCACAGCCCAGCCCUCUCCUAAUCCCAGCCCUUCAUUGUCCCCAACCGUCCUUGCAAAGGGCAAGAUGAGGACUGAGGCUCCACCACCCCUUCAGUCCUCCUGGCUUUAUUCCAAAACUGCUAAUUAAAAAGCCAGUGUCAUCAGUGAUUUUUCUGAUGUGCAAACUUUUCCAUAAGGAACUGGUCCCAAAUCCACCAACUCAUUUCACAUUUAUUUUAAAUCUGAGCUUUACAUCAUGUAAUUUCCUCCAGGGCUUGAUUAUCUUCUCAGUAAAAACACUGUUGUUCUGGUUUGUGAGACCUAUAUUUAAUCUCGCCGUAAGGCCUCUGUACCUCCCAGUACAGGGCUUAGAUGCUGCCACAGCUCCUGGCUUUGCCUUCCUAUUUAUAUGAAUCCAUUAAACAAGGUGCUAAUUCUGCAAUAUUGAGGGUGUUCUCCAGCCAUGGGGUGCCUGUCAGCAUUAACUUCUUGUUGCAGAAAUGGUCUCCUGAACCUCUGAAGUCAUCCAAAGGCACUCUCUUAAGCGGUAGCAGACAACUUGUAAACAGGGAAUCGAAGGCACAGUCAGACAGGAUCCUUCUCUGUCUCUCUUAUUCUGGUGGUACCACAAGUUCUUCUCUGUAUUUCCCCUACAUGUAACAAGGUAUAUAGCAUUCAGUGUAUUUUUACAUGGAAAUACAUGAAACAGGUAAAAGUGGGAGGGGGAAUCAUUUUCCUGAGCCUGCUCACAGCCCUCUGCUCUCAGCCAGAGGCUCUGAGCUGCCCAGGUCACCUCUCCAAUAUACUCUGCAGUGCAGGAAGCUCUUGUUUGAAUGCAAAUGCUUUCACCAGCAUUUGCUCCUUCCAGUGGAGGCCUGUUUUCAACUCGCCAGCAUCGCCUCAUGACCAUACUUUCACUUUAACCUGAGAAUCAUAGAAUCAUAGAAUCACCAAGGUUGGAAAAGAUUCACAGGAUCACCCAGUCCAACCAACUAUCACCAAUAGUUCUCACUAAACCACAUCCCUCAACACAACAUCCAAAUGUGCCUUGAACACCCCCAAGGCUGGUGACUCCCUGAGCAGCCCAUUCCAGUGCCUGACCACUCUUUCAGAGAAGUAGUAUUUCCUGACAUCCAGCCUGAAUCUCCCCCGGUGCAGCUUCAAGCCAUUCCCUCUAGUCCUGUCAGUAGUUACCUGAGAGAAAAGGCCGACCCCCAGCUCACUACAACGGAGUGAGCUAUCCCUCUCCUCUUACAGACCCAGACCUGCUGCCUGGGUGGCAUCCAGCCCUUCACCCGCGCCCUCAACCUCAGCCCAGCUCCCUGCGUUUGCACGGCAGCUGCAGAGCUCCUAGGCUGCGGCGCUCAAAAGUGUCAUUCUCUGACAAAGAUACCGGCUGACGUGGCCAGGAGAUGCAUGUAAGAACACACAAAUGGACUUUAAGAAGUGUUAUUUUCAAUUAUUCAGUUCAACUUUGAUGAUGGAUUUUCGAAAAGAUUCUGGAAAUAAAGACAGGCAAUGGCUCAAUUUUCUUGUACCAAUUAGGAUUUCCAGGCCAAAGGAGCCAUGACACAGCUUGGUUUGCCAAGGCCUUUGGAACUCAGAGGUGCGCAGACAUACCCGAUGCACUGGUCUAACUGCAACAGUUGUUUAACACAGAGGUGAGUGACUAAGGGGGAGAGAGAGUGAGUAAGGGGGGUCUGCAGAGAAAAGGAAAGUGAAAAUAGUCAGGGCAGCCAGAGAGAGAUCCAGUCCCGGGGAAUCUCUGGGAUGGAGCGGGCUCUUGCACUGAUACUUGUGGCUGAUGGCCUGGAGGCUGGGGGCUGCAGAAACAGCCAAAAAAUGCACUCCAGUGUGGGGAGAAGUGCUGUGGCAGUGGCUUUUCUGUGGCAGGCUCCCCUCUGCCUUGAGGAGUGUGAAACUCUUCAAGGCUGGGCUGCUGCUAAAUGCCUCAGGUACAGAUGUAUGCGUCUAACACACAAAGGCAUUUGAAAGGCACUGUGAGCCAAGACCACAUGGACAAUGGUCAGAAUGACUGGCGUGCAAAAUUUGGGUACCAAGGCAUGGACCAAAUCAUCCGAUUGGGAAGUCUAGGAUUAAAAAGAAUGGCUAAACUUUAUAUUUUAUUUCCAUUCAUCAUUUCUGCUUGUGUGGGUGGACAAGGAGAGAAUGAGUUUCCUGGGGAGGGCAGCAGAUAAAAGAGGCACACAUUUCCUUGAAAGAUGUGUGUCUUUUUUCUUCUUUGCUCCUAGGUUAAUAUGCCAUAAAAGGGCUGGAGGUAACCCUGAUAGCUUUUCUAUCAUGAGCAAGAAAUUGGCUAGUUCUUCACUUUCGUAGGGUCUUUCUCCCUUUGAUUGCUAGCUAUGUGCCGUGAGAGAAGUCUUUCCAGCAUGGAUUUCAUCACUGCCCCAGGAUGAAUAGGCUGAAUUCUUGCAAAGGAGUGCUUGAGGUGGGAAAAAAAUGGACAACACCAAUGGAUUUGGUGUUCAGGCAUGUUUCCAAGCCUCUGUAAAACACCUGACUGUUACAGGGGAGAAAGCUGUUCCCUUUAGGGGCUGGGGUGUGGGUGAGUGUCUCCAGAGCCUGCCGCCUUUGCACUGUCAGAGCUAUAGGGUCCAUACAGGAGACUUAGACAGACCUCUUGCUGGGGGAAGUGUGUGGAGAUGGACGGACAUGCUUGCAAUGCACGCAUACUUCUGAGGCUUGCCUGAAGCAGAGAAGAGCUGAGCACAGCCCUGUGCUGACCAACACCAGCUCACACAGAGAGGUGUGGGGUGGAAGAGCCUUCCAUGGUCUGUUCCUCAUUCUACCUAAAGCCCCCUGUCUUUGACAGGAUUUACCCACACUGGAUCUGCUGGAACAAUUAACAAUUAAUUUCAAUUAAUGUGUAAGAUGUUGAGGAUUUGCAACCCGUCUGCCUAUGCUGUUGGGGUCAACAUCUGGCAAAAGAGCUGCAGGGUUCCCUGAGACAGGGAAGGAUUUUGCCCUUGGGAUGCUAUGUUCUGUGGCGUCUGUCACUGAGCUGGGAUCUUUGUGCCAGAAGCUCCUUUUGCAGAGGGAGACAGAGCCCAGGGCAGUGCUUUGCUCUGCAGACAUCCCUGGGAAGUAGCAGGGUUUGGGAUGUGGCAGGAGAGGUGGAACCUGGGCUGAGCUUGGAUGUUCCCUCUGUUUUUUAGGGUAGCAAACACGAUGGGGGUUUUGGAGCAGCAAGGUAGUGGACAGAUGGGCUUUGAUGAAAUUAAAGCAGCUGGGAGGAUGAAACAGUUAUGUUCUGAAACAGUGGCUCUUCAUGGGGGAUCCCAGUUUGUGCCUGAAUGCAGAAUGAACUGAUUUUUCUGGCUGACAAAGGAAAAAUAUGAAAGAUGAAGGAAAAAAAAAACAACAAACAAACCAGAAGAGAAGGGGUCUGGAUGAGUCAGAGACGCAAACUUUCAAGAGCAGUUGCACUGAGGUGGAGCAGAAAAGUCUGGGCGCUGGCUUAUGACAGACACAGAACCUCUUUACUGAAAGUGGCAGUGGAUUUUGCAGUAGAGAGAGGCAGCUGGCAAGUAUUUUUAUGUAUGCCACAAUUUUGAUCAUAAGCAGAGAGAAAAUCUGAAAGAAAUGUGCCAGUCUUAAGACUAAGCAGAGAUGAUGACAGCUAACAACCGUCAUGAUGAAGCUGGAGAAAUCUGCCUCUGAGACAAAAUGAGGAGCAGAAGAGGCCACCAAGAUGUGAUAGCUGGUGAUGCAGACAGAGAAAAACAGGGAUGGGAGUAUUAUUUAGGCUUCAUCCUGUCAGGAUCACAGGUGAGAUUGGGUUGGUGCCUACACCUAAGUCCUUGCCUUAUUCAUUUCGUAAGUCAAAAUGCCUGAGGAUCUAUAGAAGAGCAUGAUUUUCCAGAAGAAGCGAGGAAAGAAUUUAAUCCUAAAUUGUUUCUCAAAUGAUAACAGAAUGGCAAGCAUCUCUGGAGACGGUGGCUGGUUGUCUUCACAACAACCAGGAAAAAUACUGCUGAAAGGAUGCAUGUGCAGUGCCUUUUUAUAAAGCCAUGUGUCCCAGACACCAAAAUGCCCCGGAUGCAGAAAAACCUCACUUUUAAAAACUGCCCCAUAGGCCUCAUGGGUCUCGUGUGCUGAAUUUCCUUCAGCUGUAGAACCACUGUGGUCCCACUGGGAUUUCAGCCAGUGAAGAGGAAAGAGAUGGGGCUCUUUCUGGACAUUCAACCAUCUCUUUCAUGAGGUGCAGGGCAGAGUGGGGUCUGGAUCAAACAAUUGUGUCUGGUAUUUCCUACUCCCACAGGCCGGGCUGUGCUGCUGUCUGGACAAAGCAUUAUGGUAUGGGGCAUUUCCACAGAGAUGUGUGUCAAAAGCAGAGAGAAGCCAGGUGACCUCCUGAAGCAUCCUAGCCUCCCUGCCAUGAGAAGCACUUCUGCCCUUCUUUCCCUCCACCUGUGUUCUUCUCCAGGCAUGCACAGCCACCCACUGGCCAUGUCCCAGGGCGGUACCUCCCCAGCCCUGCAGCUUUGUGCUGUCCAUGUGUCCAAAAUGCACACAAGGAAUGCUCCCUGAACCCUGCUGUGCCCUGUGCCUGAGUGCAGCAUCCCCACUGUCUUUCCAUUUUUUCCCUAAUGAUUUUGACUGCAUUAUGUUAUAUGGAGAGCAAACCCUCAUCCUGCCAUCUGCUCUCCCACUCUGCCUGCUGGCUCCAAGACCUGCCUCACCACUUUGGUAGUUUACCCGAGGUGGUGGGGCUGCUGGGGUGGGGGCUGUCCCUUUCCCUUGGUCACACUGCGGUGUGGGCAUGGCUGUGUGCCCUUGCACAGGGCUGAACGCUGCCUCUGAGCCACCUCCAGUGCGGUGGCACCAUGGCGGCUCUUGCUCAGCGCAGAAUCCAGUGUGACAACAAAUAUGAAAUCCUCUGCGGCUAAUUAAUUAUCUCAGAUCCCUUCCAUAUUACAGGAGGUGGGCAGCAAAGCUUUGGGAGUGCAGAUACUUUAGGAUCAGCUUUGAAAAUAAACCCGAAUAAGCCACUUUUUUGGAGAUUAAACUGACUCCUCCUGGAAACCACUGCAGGGGAAGAGCACUUGUUUAUUAAAAAGAGACAGCAGGGAUCAGGGCAUGAAAGGAGGCUUUGUCUCCUCGGCUCUUACCUUACUCCAUUUGAUGGUAUUUUAAUGCUUUUUUCUUCAGGUGUGCAAGGAACCUCAGACACAAAUCUCCUACCUUCAAAAGCAUCAGGCACGGAGGGUUCUGCACAUUAGGGAAGCCCAUACCACCUGCAGCAGCCCCCACAUGAGUGCAUCUUCGGUGACACCGGGCCGGGGGGCUGCAAAUGCCCAGGGGCUCGGCAGGGGUUCGCUCCAUGUCUGAUCGGGCUGCGUCCCCGGGGACCCCCCGGCUCUGCAGGAGCACGGGAAGGCCACAGAAGAGGGAUCCCCUCUGCUGCAGAGGGCAUCCCCGGGGGACUCUCCGGCAUCUCCCCCCCAAGGGCAGGGAAUCGAGGUGGGGUCCUGCUGUCCGGCGCCCCCGAGAUGCGGUGCUCACCGGCGAGCGGGGAGCGGCCGUGAGAGCAUCCCGGAGGGGGCUGCAGACUGCGGGA